rnacentral:rRNA from 1 species
UGGGGAAUAUUGCACAAUGGGCGCAAGCCUGAUGCAGCCAUGCCGCGUGUGUGAAGAAGGCCUUCGGGUUGUAAAGCACUUUCAGCGAGGAGGAAGGUGGUGAACUUAAUACGUUCAUCAAUUGACGUUACUCGCAGAAGAAGCACCGGCUAACUCCGUGCCAGCAGCCGCGGUAAUACGGAGGGUGCAAGCGUUAAUCGGAAUUACUGGGCGUAAAGCGCACGCAGGCGGUUUGUUAAGUCAGAUGUGAAAUCCCCGGGCUCAACCUGGGAACUGCAUUUGAAACUGGCAAGCUAGAGUCUCGUAGAGGGGGGUAGAAUUCCAGGUGUAGCGGUGAAAUGCGUAGAGAUCUGGAGGAAUACCGGUGGCGAAGGCGGCCCCCUGGACGAAGACUGACGCUCAGGUGCGAAAGCGUGGGGCAGCAAACAGGAUUAGAUACCCUGGUAGUCCACGCUGUAAACGAUGUCGAUUUGGAGGUUGUGCCCUUGAGGCGUGGCUUCCGGAGCUAACGCGUUAAA